rnacentral:tRNA from 1 species
NNNGGCGUAGCUCAGGGGUAGAGCACAACCUUGCCAAGGUUGGGGUCGAGGGUUCGAAUCCCUUCGCCCGCU